rnacentral:rRNA from 1 species
GUGGGGAAUUUUGGACAAUGGGCGCAAGCCUGAUCCAGCAAUGCCGCGUGCAGGAAGAAGGCCUUCGGGUUGUAAACUGCUUUUGUACGGAACGAAACGGUCCUGGCUAAUAUCCGGGGCUAAUGACGGUACCGUAAGAAUAAGCACCGGCUAACUACGUGCCAGCAGCCGCGGUAAUACGUAGGGUGCGAGCGUUAAUCGGAAUUACUGGGCGUAAAGCGUGCGCAGGCGGUGCUGUAAGACAGGCGUGAAAUCCCCGGGCUCAACCUGGGAAUUGCGCUUGUGACUGCAGUGCUGGAGUGCGGCAGAGGGGGAUGGAAUUCCGCGUGUAGCAGUGAAAUGCGUAGAUAUGCGGAGGAACACCGAUGGCGAAGGCAGUCCCCUGGGCCUGUACUGACGCUCAUGCACGAAAGCGUGGGGAGCAAACAGGAUUAGAUACCCCUGUAGUCC